GGAGAGCUGCCAGAGUGGUCGAAUGGGGCAGACUCGAAAUCUGUUGACCUGCUUAUGUGGGUCCGGGGGUUCGAAUCCCUCGCUCUCCGCAA
rnacentral:tRNA from 1 species